CUCAGUCAGUCAGUGGGAGAUUAACUGACAGACUGUAUAACGUUACAGGCCACCAAACAGUCUUACCAAGAAACCUUUUACAGUUUAGCACAAAUGUUUCCCGUGGAAGUUUGAAUCUCUCUCAGUCAGGGGGGAGAUUGACUGACAGACGGUCUACUUGCCACCAAACAGUAAUUUACCCUGAAACCUUUUUAAGUUUAGCACAAAUGUUUCCCGUGGAAGUUUGAAUCUCUCUCAGUCAGGGGGGAGAUUGACUGACAGACAGUCUACUUGCCACCAAACAGUAAUUUACCCUGAAACCUU